GUUCAACAACAGACCAUAAGAGAAACUGAAUAGAGAAAAGUGUUAUGAGAACUGGAUGAUGUAUAGGUCAUGCCUUCCCAGGCCACAAGGGGAGAUCAAGGCAGGGUACACAGAGCUACGGCAUCGGCUUCCGUGAGGGGACCGGUGGGGCUGCUUAGCCAAACAAAAUCAACGGCCAGGCUGCAAUGCCAUGGAGUAGCUUGGCCAGACUCACAACAGAAACCAG